rnacentral:rRNA from 1 species
GAAACCAUUAGCUUACAAUCAUUCAGAGCCCUAUGUCUUGUACAGGGUGAUGGACUGCCUUUUGCAUAAUGAGCCUGCGAGUUGUGGUGUCUGGCAAGGUUAAGCCAAGUGCGAAGCCGUAGCGAAAGCGAGUCUUAAUAGGGCGAAAUAGUCAGAUGCUGCAGACCCGAAACGAAGUGAUCUAUCCAUGAGCAGGUUGAAGCUGGUGUAAGAGCCAGUGGAGGACCGAACCCAUUGACGUUGAAAAGUCUCGGGAUGACUUGUGGAUAGGGGUGAAAGGCCAAUCAAACUUC